UGAGUAUUGUUAAGGAAAACAAAGAAGAUAUGGAAAAAUGGAAGGAGCUGAUAAAAAAUUUUCAGGAGCAGAGGCAAUUGAUGUUACGAAAAGAAAACUUGGCAGAAAAAGUGGUUCUGGAUUCCAUUGUUUCUCAAAAGACUAGUGAGAGAUUACAACAAGCCAAGGCAAAAGUUGCAGCUGUAAAGGAUCAUCAAGCCGAUAUGAAAAUUAUGAUCAGGCUGCCAUUAAGCUGCAGUGCAAUAAAACAUGUAUAAUAAACUCCAGUGUUUAAGAUGCUAACUUGCAACAUUGUAAGUGAAUAUAAACCAAACUGUGUCUUUUUAUUUGAAUGCUAAAUGUGGAAGUCUAUACUCUCAUCAUUUAAACUGAACUUCCAGGCCUUCAUUUAAGAAAAAAACAUAAUGAAGAGAGACAGUUAUGUAUGUUUACUUCUAGAAUGUAUAAAAGUGUAAUGUUAAGUGUACUUUCAACCCUGGUCUUAUUUUAAAAAAAUCAACAUUUACUAUUAGAUACCACACUCUAGUGUAUGAUAUAGCUCUGUAUUUUCCUAACCUUAGAAGUGACUGUGAUAUUUCAGAUUGCAUUGUGUGGUAAUUGGUGGUAAAUGUUUACUUUUAAAUGGCGAGGACUACAAGUGUGCAUACAGUUAUCAUCUGUACUUACUCUGAAAACUAAAUUAUUCAGUGCGACAAAAAUAAUAGGGUUUUUAUGGCUGCUAAUAUACCAAAUAGCCAGAGUGCAAUUAAAAUUUUGACUACAGUUAUUGCAGACUGUGUUGCUGAAGCUUUGCGUCAGUGCUGCCUCAGUAAAUGUAUACAUACAACAAUGCCAUAAGCAUUUAGCUCUAGAUGGAAUAUAUUUUCUGUUUCAUUCUGGCAACCCCUGAUGCAUUUUCUCCUAGCUGCUAACUUUCAUUAUGUACUUUGAUUCGUCUCAUUAGCUGCUUUUGUACAUGUAAUUAAUUAUGUUUCUAGUUUAUUCUACUUACAUUCUUUUUAUACAUAGUUCUGUGUAUGUGUACAUGUAUGUGCAUGUCUAUAUAAAAUAUGAGCGACAAGGUGGGUGAGGUAAUAUCUUUUAUUUGACCAACAGAGAAGCUCUCUCACCAACAGAAGAUAUUACCUCACCCAUCUUAUUUCUCUGAUAUCCUGGGACCAACACGGAAACAACUACACUGCAUAUAUAAAAUAUAGUCAUUUUUAUUAUUAUUAUAAUUAUAUCUAUCUUGUGCCAGUGUUGGCACGCAGGGCGGAAACUAGUCUCUUCCAGUCCUCUCUUAUUUGCUGCUGCUUCUGCACUUUGAUGUGGCUGUUGGUCCCAAGCCUGGAUAAAGUUGGGAGGAUUGAUAACACAGCUAACCACCUAGCCUCAUAAAAAAAAAAGUCACUGGUUAAAGAAACAGAAUCAGGCUACCAUUCUGACAAAAAUGGCUACUCAGUAGGGAACACUGCUGAUCCUUCAUGCUACAUAGUGGUAAAAGCCAGUUUUGGAAAGUCAGGACCCCGAAAACUUUGAUAUAGCAGCAAGAAAACACUUUAAAGGUUUUUUUUGAAAAGUGAGAACAAUGUUUCGGACAUAAACAGUCUCACGGGUCAUGAGGGAGAUGGAUAACUAUAAACUUGAGUAUAUUAAUUUUGCUAAAUAAAUAUCUUGUG
rnacentral:lncRNA from 1 species